GUGACUAGCGGUUCUAAAUUACUCACAAACAAUCUUUUCACAGCAACUGAGGUGACUGAUCCUCAAACUGUAUCAACACUUGUCGCAACUGACUAUCCAGUCGUAAGCUUUAAUGCGCUUGUAUGUAGCAGCGCUGCUGGUGUAGCUGUUCUGCUGACCCUUGCUGUGGUUUUGGGGCGUCAUGCAGCAAAGAGGAAGAAGCGCUCCGAA